rnacentral:rRNA from 1 species
GACGUAGGGCGCGAGCGUUGUCCGGAUUUAUUGGGCGUAAAGAGCUCGUAGGCGGCUUGUCGCGUCGGCUGUGAAAACCCGUGGCUCAACCAUGUGGUCUGCAGUCGAUACGGGCAGGCUAGAAUUCGGUAGGGGAGACUGGAAUUCCUGGUGUGGCGGUGAAAUGCGCAGAUAUCAGGAGGAACACCGGUGGCGAAGGCGGGUCUCUGGGCCGAUAUUGACGCUGAGGAGCGAAAGCGUGGGGAGCGAACAGG